CUUAUAUUUUUAAAGGUUAGUUGCUUUAGAAGUUCCACUUUUGCAGUUGUCUCCAUACAUAAUAUUUGAAUCAGCCUACGAUCUUCUCAUGUUCAUUUAUUCAUCUAAUACUUGCUUCGAAGACGUAGGGGAUAUCAUUUUCUUCGGUUGAACCCAUCUUUCUGUCAUUGCAAACGUCGCCUUAGGUGCUCAUUUUUAUUCUUAUAACUCUAAUCAUAUGUUGAUCAUGUUUAGAGGUUAUCUAUGAUUAACUUAUGAUUGUUCUUUUGUUAAUAGCUAUGCCUUAAUAACCUUUUGUUAUAUCCUGGUAUUAAAUUACUGCUAUAUUGGAGAUAUGCGAUUAGCUAUGUCUAAAUAAAAUUACAAUUACACUAGAUUAGUAACUAUUUUUUGAUUGCAUAGUAUAUGAUUUUUCCCCUCUUUGAUUUUUAUAUCUCUAGGUAUAAGAUAAGAGAGAAGGAAAAAAUUGUUCAGGCAUAUUCUUCUUAAAAUCUUGAAGAAAAUUUUGUAAGUUUAUUUGUAUUACUUUGAUCCUAUAUCAAUUAUUUAUUGAAAUUAUUCUCAAAAUAAAUGCUCUCAUUAUUUUACUGGAUCCAUUUUAUGUGACUGUAAUAAUUUUCAUAUUCUAAAUGUGUUGGCUACCAAAUAUCCUGAUUAGGAUUGAGGUAAGAUUGGUAUUAUUAAAGAAUAUAUGUACCAUAAUUAAUUUUAUUAAUUUCAUUUCAGUUUCUUAGACUUUAUGGCUCUCUUUUCUCCCAUAGGCCCCAUCUGCUUUAUUGCUCGGGUUGCUCCCAUGAAGACAUUUUGGAAUUUUUUUUUUUUUGAUCAGAUUGAUUCAUUAAUGAUAAUUUAGUGAAUUUUCAUCUUCAUUAUAUGAACCAUCUAGAAGAAACAAGCUAUCCAAAUUUAAAGCUCAAAUAAUAGAAGUGAAAGGGAAAAUGAUGGACAAUAUUAAGAAAGUACAACAAAAGGCAUCAAAGCCCAAGCAUGAGAAGCCGAUACAGGAGUCAUGAAAGAGGCCUUCCUACAAGCCUUUUGGUCCGCAAACUUGGGCGUGAUUGCAAGUCCAUUUUAAUGUUUCUUAAAUGAAAAUUCAAUUGCCAUUAUUUCUUGUAGUUGUUCAACCUGCUUCAAGCUACUUUCUUGUUAUUGAAAUUAGUUUAAAAGCAUUGAUAUCUUCUUCCCAAUUUUUGAUUUCACUAUCACGCCUUGAAGAUAUAUCUUCCAUAGUAUAAACAUUUUUGUUUACAAAAUGUGUUUCUAAAUACUAAAGAUUAGUAAGUGCCUAAAAUUUAGGUGAAAAUUUAUUAAACUUUUAGAAUAGUUUCAAUAAUAUUUGACACGCUAACAUUACCUUAAAAAUAAUGCGGCCCAUGCAAUGCACGGGCAUAAGACUAGUAAAACAGGAAAGUUUCGAUUCCCUCUUAAUUUUCUUUGGCCUCCCACCAAAACAAGUUCCCUAAUUUUGGAGAGCUCUUCCUCUUCCUCUUCCUCAACCAAAACCCUUCUCUCUCACAAAUUGCAAAAUCAUUCUAUCACCCUCUCCAAAUAUCCAACCGUCGCUUAUCUCAAUAUCACUAGCGGUUCAUAAAUUUGUCUCGUUUUCUUUCUCGUCGUACAUAUUCUUGGUGAAGCUUUUUCCCCAUAUCUUCCCCUUGUUUUUCCCUUUUCUUUUCCUCUCUUUUCUUCCACAAUUACUAUUUAUAGCUAGCUAUGUCAUGGGCUUUUUUUAUUGUGUUUGAUUUCGUUUUCUAUUUUGGGUUUUUUGGAUUCUUGAUUUCUCUAUUUGUGCAUAUCUACAUGGGUUUGUGAAAUAAGGAAAUAGAAAUUUUAAUUGUUGAUAAUGGAAGUGAUAGAGUGGCAUUCGAAGGUAGCAGUAAGUGAAAGGUAGAUUUUUUCCCAGGCAUCUUACGUGUGUACUAUUUCCUUAUUCUUUAUUUAUUUCUUAAGUUCAUGACAUUCUUUCUUCGUUCUGCAUCGUUGGAAUUUGUAGGAUCAUUAGAGCUUUCUUGGUGGAAGAGCAAAAGAUUGUGAAGAAGGUUUUGAAGAUUUAGAAGGCCAAGGAAAAGCUAUCUGCUAAGAGCUGAAGAAUCAGUCAUAUGCCAAUAUAGUUAUGAAUACUAUUAAUCAAGGAUGAUUGGAAUUGUAUUAUGAGGCUUCCAUGCUUAAAUUAUGUUUGUUUCUUAGAUUUUGUCAAAUGACUGCGUUCUUCUGUUUGUUGAAAAUUCUCAUAUUUGAUUUUGGUUUCCCUGCCUUUUCAUAACAUCUUAAACUUCAUUUGGAUUUACUCGUGUAAUCCUUGAUUUUUUUUCCUUAACUGAGUUUGAGUUAUCAUUAAUUAGCUACUUCUUCUGGUGAGUUUCAAUGG
rnacentral:lncRNA from 1 species